rnacentral:lncRNA from 1 species
AUAAAAACAGAUCUUUUAACUUCCCCAUUAAGGUAGCGAGAGGCAUGUAUGUUUUAAUUUUCUAUUUGCACUGUAUUCCUGUUUUCCCAAAGGGAAGUGAUGUGACUAAACCAGAUAUUUUAACUUUCGUAUUAAUGUAGCUAGAGGCAUGUAUGUUUCAAUUUUCUAGUUGCACUGUAUUCUUGUUUUCCCCAAGGGAAGUGAUGUGACUAAACCAGAUAUUUUAACUUUCGUAUUAAUGUAGCUAGAGGCAUGUAUGUUUCCAUUUUCUAGUUGCACUGGAAGGUUGUCUUUCCCCAAAGGGAUGUGAUGUAAUUAUACCAGAUCAUAUAAGUUUCUUAUUAAAGUACCUAGAGGCAUGUAUGUUUCAAUGUUCUAGUUGCACUGUAUUCUUGUUUUUCCCAAGGCAAGUGAUGUGAUUCAACCAGAUCUUAUAACUUUCUUAUUAAGGUACCUAUUAAAACAGAUCUUUUAACAUCCCCAUUAAAGUAGCUAGAGGCAUGUAUGUUUCAAUUUUCUAGUUGCACUGGACGGUUGUAUUUCCCCAAAGGGAAGUGAUGUAAUUAUACCAGAUCUUAUAACUUUCUUAUUAAGGUAGCUAGAGGCAUGUAUGUUUCAAUUCUCUAGUUGCGCUGUAUUCUUGUUUUCUCCAAGGGAAGUGAUGUGACUAAACCAGAUAUUUUAACUUUCAUAUUAAGGUAGCUAGAGGCAUGUAUGUUUCAAUUUUCUAGUUGCACUGGACAGUUGUAUUUCCCCAAAAGGAAGUGAUGUAAUUAAACCAGAUCUUAUAGCUUUCUUGUUAAGGUAGCUAGAGGCAUUUAUGUUUCAAUUUUCUAGUUGCACUGUAUUCUUGUUUUCCCCAAAGGAAGUGAUGUGACUAAACCGGAUAUUUUAACUUUCAUAUUAAUGUAGCUAGAGGCGCCAGCAUGUAUGUUUCAAUUUUCUAUUUGCACCGGAGGGGGUUGUAUUUCCCCAAAGGGAAGUGAUGUAAUUCAACUAGAUCUUAUAACUUUCUUAUUAAGGUAGCUAGAGGCAUGUAUGUUUCAAUUUUCUAGUUGCACUGUAUUCUUGUUUUUCCCAAGGGAAGUGAUGUGACUAAACCAGAUAUUUUACGUUGAUAUUAAUGUAGCUAGAGGCAUAUAUGUUUCAAUUUUCUAGUUGCACUGGACGGGGUUGUAUUUCCCCAAAGGCAAGUGAUGUAAUUAAACCAGAUCUUAUAACUUUCUUGUUAAGGUAGCUAGAGGCAUGUAUGUUUCAACUUUCUAGUUGAGCUGGAUUGUUUGUUCCCCAAAAUAGAGAUCAUAUAAUUAUGCCAUUGCUUAUGACUUUCUUAUUAAGGUUGCUAGAGACAUGUAUAUUUAAAUUUGCUUGUUCCACUGGAUUGUUGUAUUUCCCCAAAGGGAAGUGAUGUAAUUAUACCAGAUCUUAUAACUUUCUUAUUAAGGUAUUUAGAGGCAUGUAUGUUUCAAUUUUCUAGUUGCACUGUAUUCUUGUUUUCCUAAAAGGGAUGUGAUGUAAUUAUACCAGAUCUUAUAAGUUUCUUAUUAAAGUAUCUAAAGGCAUGUAUGUUUCAAUUUUCUAGUUGCACUGUAUUCUUGUUUUCUUAAAAGGGAUGUGAUGUAAUGAUACCAUAUCUUAUAAGUUUCUUAUUAAAGUAUCUAGAGGCAUGUAUGUUUUAAUUUUCUAGUUGCACUGUAUUCUUGUUUUCCCAAAGGCAAGUGGUGUGAUUCAACCAGAUCUUAUAACUUUCUUAUUAAGGUAGCUAGAGGCAUGUAUGUUUCAAUUUUCUAGUUGCACUGUAUUCUUGUUUUCCCCAAGGGAAGUGAUUUGACUAAACCAGAUAUUUUAACUUUCUUAUUAAGGUAGCUAGAGGCAUGUAUGUUUCAAUUGUCUAGUUUCACUGUAUUCUUGUUUUCCCCAAGGCAAGUGAUGUGAUAAACCAGAUCUUAGAACUUUCAUAUUAAGGUAGCUAGAGGCAGGCAUGUUUCAAUGUUCUAGUUGCACUUGACGGUUGUAUUUCCCAAAAUGGAAAUGAUGUAAUUUAACCAGUACUUAUGACUCUCUUAUUAAGGUAGAUGGAGAUAUUGAGUUUUCAUUUUCCUAGUUGCACUUUAUUGUUCUUGUCUUAACCAACUAGAAAUGAUGUAAUUAAAACGGAAGUCCUUACACCUUUGUUAUUAAGGAUGCUGUUGCCAAGUUAUACUGCUUUAAGUAUUUUUUUUGUUCUAAAUCCAGAAGAGAUGUCAUUAAACCAGACAUGCUUACCAAAUGUUCUUAGGACAGAUAGGCUCAGGACUGAAUAAGACAUGCUGGACCAAGCAUUUCUACAGCUGUGUAUCAAUGGGGACCUUCUGCUACCCCCAUUGUCAUUUAUCCACUGUAUUAUAUCUCCAUUCUAUAAUGAUAAAUACCCUGCACCCAUUUGCUGAUAAAAGGUCAUCCUGAGACCUACUUGAAUGGCACAAAGAUGAAAUUAGACAUCCGACCAAAUACCUCUCAUGUGACAUUUAGUGUCGAGUAAGAGAUGCAGGAAGACGCAGGUAUUUACAGAAUGGACAUGUGAUGUACUGGAUAAUCGAGUUUGCUGUCACCCCAUUUCUGGACAUUCAGGAAAUGGUGGGAAAUGGACUGCUUCUGUUGUUACAUGUAAAGCAGAACCCUUCCUAGUUACUUUCAGUCUAAGAUAACCAGCCCUCCCAUAAUCAGCUGUGUCUCUGUAGCUUCUACGUUAUGUUCACUGACUUUGCAUCACAAAUAUCACAACUAAGAGUUUGUUGUUGUGUAGUCUUUUAUUGUUUCUCUUGAUAAAUAAAAUAUUUCAUAAAAAUACAAA